GAGAGCUCAUCUUUCCGGUAUUCGAUCGCUACGUAUAGGCUGAUCUGCUUUGAUAGGUGACACCCACUGCUCUCGAUGCCAUGCGCUCGGUCGAGAGGAGAAUGGAUCCCUCGGAUGCUAGGCGUGGAUUAGAGAUUAAAGUAGGAGUAUUCGCCCCCACUUAAUUCUUCCCUCCCCUUCGGCAUCGCGGUCCGAUAAGCCAUCAACCACAUCCAUAUAGGCACUGCACGGGGCAGUAUGCCUUCAUUU
rnacentral:snRNA from 1 species